rnacentral:rRNA from 1 species
AUUGAACGCUGGCGGCAGGCCUAACACAUGCAAGUCGAACGAGUGGCGGACGGGUGAGUAAUGUCUGGGAAACUGCCUGAUGGAGGGGGAUAACUACUGGAAACGGUAGCUAAUACCGCAUACCAUCGGAUGUGCCCAGAUGGGAUUAGCUAGUAGGUGGGGUAAAGGCUAACGUAGGCGACGAGCCCUAGCUGGGCUGAGAGGAUGACCAGCCAAACGGGACAUGAGACACGGUCCAGACUCAUACGGGAUGAGGCAGUGGGGAAUAUUGCACAAGGGGCGCAAUCCUGAUGCACCCAUGCCGGGUGUAUGAAGAAGGCCUUUGGGUUGGAAAGUACUUUCAGCGGGGAGGCGUUACCCGCAGAGGAAGCACCGGCUAACUCCGUGCCAGCAGCCGCGGUAAUAC